GGUAACACCAGCAGCACAUGUAAGGAUCACGAAUGCUCUCAAGGGAGAAGAAGGACGUCAACCGUUCCACCCUUCAUUUGGCUAUUUUACCAAAUUGUUAAUACAAAUGAUUAUCUAUCCCUUGGAAGGGAUCUAGUCCAGGAGUUCUGAAGACUAGGUAAAUUAACCAAGUCCAGGAGACUAGGCCAGGGAGAAAUUUGGCAUGAUGUAAUGAAUAAUAAAGAAACGAACGGAGUACCAGGAAUUUUCUUCAAUACCAUCGUACCUUACCCCUAACAUGGAAAUCAGCACUUCAAUUGCCUCCCAGUGGGAAGACAGCACCUGGCCUCAUCAGUAAUAAGACCCAUACACACAAGGAAUAUCAUGUCAUAGCAGGUAGGACAGGCCUACCCUAAUUCCCAGGCAGCGUAAACGUCAGUCUUGAUACCCACCGUGUCAACUAGGACACGGUACCAUUCUCCGACCCCUGUCUCCAGGCAAGAAGACUGACAACAGUGUAUAUGUAUACUAAUAGUAUUAUUAUUUUCGUAUCUUAAUGUCUUGGUGGAAUAAUUCACCUGUGACAAGAGGAGAACUUUAAAACAUACAGAGAAGUUGUUAGGAAUAUUAGUGUGUAUUUGUUAGGAUAUUCUUUCUUUUUGCCUUUCUCCUCCUUUCUGGACCCCCUCCUUUUUGUGGUUGAAUGUGUUGGUUUCUUUUAUUAGUUGUGUAUUUGGGAUUUGUUUAGUGAUUAUUUAAGGGUGAGUGUUAUUCAUGUAUUUUUGUAUUAUAAGAGAUUCAGGAGUAAUUUCUGCCUAACGAAUUUUUGUAUUAAGAUUAAGUGAUUUUUC